UAAUGAUAGUAAUGUGUGUGUGGUAAUGUGUUUCUGAAUCACAAGUAAGAAAUUUGGUAUCUGCUGGCCGGGCUCACGUAGAUAUUUCCCCUAAUUUGUUGGUGUCUGUGUGUGUGUAGGAGCGGGAUACUGAGAGGCAGAGGGUUGAUGAGCUGUUAGAGAUGAAUAUGGGCCUGGAGGCGGAGCUUAGACAAGAGCUUAGACAUAACAACAACAAUACAGGCACGAUGACAGCGGCUCCACAUUUCCACCAAUUGGAGGUGGAGUCUGACGAGGAGGCUGGGCUAAGAGUGGAGCUAAGAGAAGAGAUUGAUCUGAAGCCUCUGAGUGUGGAGGUGGGCGAGGCAUCGUCACUGAGGCUUCUGGGAGCUGAGAAUGAGAACGCUGAGCUGAGGAGACGCCUGGAGGACCUGCAGUCCGAACAGGAGUUCAGGGGUCAGAGGGUAAGGGUCACGAGAGUCGAUCUAUCAAAAUGGAUUGAGUCUAGGUUAAACCUCCAGGGGGCAGGCAAAGGCAACAGUAGCAAGGAAAAGUAAAGAAGAAUGAGACUCUACACAGGGAGCCUUGUGGCUUGCCAAGUACUUGUAUUAGUGUCCAGGCUAAGGGCACUGCUAUUGGAGGAUCCAACUGUCUGCUAUAUUUUGCAGCAAGCUGAUUUGCCGGAGGUGAGGGAGGAGCUGGCCUGUCUGGAGGCAGAACACCAGAAUACGCUAAGAGAGGUGAGUUGAUGUGACCGACUGUGUUAACCCUCUGAGCUAAAGCCUAGGCAUUAGGAGGCUAACAAAAGUCUUUAGGUCUAAGAGAACGCUAUUCAUCAUGUGGGUCACUAAACCGUUACCGUGCAUUCAGAAAGUAUUCAGACCCCUUCCCUUCCUUUUCCCACAUUCUGUUACAGCCUUAUUCUAAAAUGAACUCAAUUUAAAAAAAUACCCCAUAAUAAAAUACCCCAUAAUGACAAAGCGAAAACAGGUUUUUAGAAAUGUUUGCAAUUUUUUUUUUUAAAUAAACAGAAAUACCUUAUUUACAUCAGCCUGUCAGACCAUGAGAAACAAGAAUCAAGUGUCACAUCUGGAGGAAACCUGGCACCAUCCGUACAGUGAAGCAUGGUGGUAGCAUCAUGUUGUGGGGAUGUUUUUCAGCGGCAGGGACUGGGAGACUAGUCAGGAUCGAGGGAAAGAUGAACGGAGCAAAGUACAGAGAGAUCCUUAAUGAAACCUGCUCCAGAGCGCUCAGGACCUCAGACUGGGGCGAAGGUUCAUCUUCCAACAGGACAACGACCCUAAGCACACAGCCAAGACAACACAGGAGUGGAUUCGGAGUGGAUUCGGGACAAGUCCCUGAAUGUCCUUGAGUGGCCCAGCCAAAGCCUGGACUUGAACCCGUUCGAACAUUUCUGGCAUCAUACCCAAGGAGACUCAAGGCUGAAAUCACUGCAAUCACUACCAAAAGGGUCUUAAUACUUCUAUAAAUGUGGUAUUUCAGUUUUUUAUUUUUAAUACAUUUGCAAAAAUAUCAAAACACCUGUUUUUUCUUUGUCAUUAUGGGGUAUUGUGUGUAGAUUUAUGAGGGGAAAAAGUAUUCAAUAAAUUUUAGAAUAAGGCUGUAAUCUAACAAAAUGUGGAAAAAGUCAAGGGGUCUGAAUACUUUCCGAAGGCACUGUAUCUAGAUGUGACCUCACUGUGUCGUCUGACAUGUAUCUAGAUGUGACCUCACUGUGUCGUCUGACAUGUAUCUAGAUGUGACCUCACUGUGUCGUC
rnacentral:lncRNA from 13 species